rnacentral:rRNA from 1 species
UACGUAGGGGGCGAGCGUUGUCCGGAUUUAUUGGGCGUAAAGAGCUCGUAGGCGGCUUGGCAAGUCGGGUGUGAAACCUCCAGGCUCAACCUGGAGACGCCACUCGAUACUGCUAUGGCUAGAGUCCGGUAGGGGACCACGGAAUUCCUGGUGUAGCGGUGAAAUGCGCAGAUAUCAGGAGGAACACCGGUGGCGAAGGCGGUGGUCUGGGCCGGCACUGACGCUGAGGAGCGGAAGCGUGGGUAGCAAACAGG